rnacentral:lncRNA from 1 species
UUUUUAACAAAAUAGUUUUGUGCUCACUCCUGCUUAGGAACAAUUCAUUUCUAUGAACCUUCAUGGUUUACAGAGCAUUUUUAUGUCCAUAGUUUCAUUUGUGUCUCAUAUAAUAAGCCCAUGAGUUAGAUUGAUUCAAGUAUGUUUUCAUAUUAUAGAUGAAGAAACAAGAAUAGUGAAAUAACUUGUCUAAAGUUAAUAAACUAAUGAAUUGAACUAGAAUUGGGACAUAGACAUCUGAUUUAAUAUUUUGUACUGCUUACACUAUACCAUGAUACCUCUCCAGCGUACUUUAUUCUUUUGUUCAGCUCCAAAUAAAGGCCCACAAUGGCAUGGAAUUGAAUUAGUCCUUGUGUCUGUUUUCAGCAAAUCUGUUGUCCAUUCCAAUGACACCCUUGUGUUUCAUGUCAUAUAUAUCAUUUGAUUUUGGAAUCAAGAUAUGUAGCAGCAACGGCAUAUGUAACAAACUUGAAAAUAUCAACUCUGAGUCAGCAUAUUUCAAAACAAAGCAGAAAUAGUCUGAAAUUAGAAACAAAAGCAGAAUGGAGGUAGCAAAAGCACUCUUUCUUACACAAAUGAUAAUUUCUUAGCUUUCAACUUCUUUUGACAAGGUGCCAAUGUCAUUUCUUUGUAAAUGAAAACUAUAUUUUGAAAUAAAUUUAUCAGUGUUGAAUGUUUAAAAUACGAUUAGUGAUUUAAAUGAAAUUGUAUCUGUAUCAAGUGGCAAAAAAAAAAAAAAAAAGCUCCAUUCUAAUAUGGAUAAUGAAGAAAAGCUUAAAACAAAUGCAUCCGUCUUUCUGUCUUUUUUAGCCCCGUGUUGACUUUUCAUCUUGUUUAUCUCCAACUCUGCCAACAUUCUUGUUAUAUUUAGUGAUUGGAAAUGACUUCUUUUUUUUAACAUAAAAAUCUUUUGGAGGAGGUUAUGAGGAUUAAGAAAGCCAUGUAUGUAGUCCAAGAGCUUUGGUGGAGACUUUGUAGGAGGGGAGAGCCUUGGGGAUGGGUUUGAGGUGUUUGAA